CCAUGAAGCUGGAUUCGCUAGUAAACGCGUAUCAUCUACGGCGCGUUGAAUACGUUCUCGGGUCUUGUACUCACCGCCCGUCAAGUCAAGAGAGUCGGAAAUACCCGAAGGCCCCGAUUAAGGGGACUAAGGUAGAGUCGAUGAUAAGGACUAAGUCGUAACAAGGCAUCCGUAGCGGAAGCUGUGGAUGGAUCACCUCCUUU
rnacentral:rRNA from 1 species